GGCACUUUGGCGGAGUGGUUAACGCGCUGCCCUGCUAAGGCAGUUCCUUCGGGAGCGUGUGUUCGAAUCACACAGGUGUCG
rnacentral:tRNA from 2 species